rnacentral:rRNA from 1 species
GACGAACGCUGGCGGCGUGCUUAACACAUGCAAGUCGAACGGAAAGGCCCUGCUUUUGUGGGGUGCUCGAGUGGCGAACGGGUGAGUAACACGUGAGUAACCUGCCCUUGUCUUUGGGAUAACUUCAGGAAACUGGGGCUCAUACCGGAUAGGAGCUCCUGCUGCAUGGUGGGGGUUGGUAAGUUUCGGCGGUUGGGGAUGGACUCGCGGCUUAUCAGCUUGUUGGUGGGGUAGUGGCUUACCAAGGCUUUGACGGGUAGCCGGCCUGAGAGGGUGACCGGCGACAUUGGGACUGAGAUACGGCCCAGACUCCUACGGGAGGCAGCAGUGGGGAAUAUUGCACAAUGGGCGGAAGCCUGAUGCAGCAACGCCGCGUGCGGGAUGACGGCCUUCGGGUUGUAAACCGCUUUCGCCUGUGACGAAGCGUGAGUGACGGUAAUGGGUAAAGAAGCACCGGCUAACUACGUG